rnacentral:lncRNA from 1 species
AUACAUUUCUAGAUAACUAGAUAUAUGUACUGUAUUUAUAACUCUUUGCUAAUUUAUUUUUUUUCUGAUACAAAUUUGAAUUUGUUUUUGCUUGUGUCAAAAAUGAUGUUUUUGUUAAUUCUUGCAUGCCCGCUUGCAAUAGAUUUGCAUCCCCCUAUGGGGCAUGGCCUACAAUUUAGAAAACACUGACCUAAUUAAUUAAAGGCUUUUGGGCUGAAUAAUGAUCCUCUAUAGGAUUGAUGCCCCAUUCCCAAAUUAUGGAAACAAUGCUACUUUGGAGCUCAAUAUGAUUCUGAGUUUCAAAAUUUGACUUGGAAUCAUGUUUUUUAUACAAAACAUAAAAUUGUUUGAAUUAUCUAUGUUCACCUCUUGGGAGGUGAACGCAGAUAAUUCAGCAGUUGGUUAUGGCAGUAAAUCGUCAACAACGAACAAUACAUUUUUUAACAGAGACGAACGAUGGAAGAGACAGCUGAGAUACCGUAGUUUUCUUUUCAAUGCACUUUUCUUGACUGCUUGUUCUAGUUGAACCGCCUGU